rnacentral:rRNA from 1 species
GACGAACGCUGGCGGCGUGCUUAACACAUGCAAGUCGAACGGAAAGGCCCUGCUUUUGUGGGGUGCUCGAGUGGCGAACGGGUGAGUAACACGUGAGUAACCUGCCCUUGACUUUGGGAUAACUUCAGGAAACUGGGGCUAAUACCGGAUAGGAGCUCCUGCUGCAUGGUGGGGGUUGGAAAGUUUCGGCGGUUGGGGAUGGACUCGCGGCUUAUCAGCUUGUUGGUGGGGUAGUGGCUUACCAAGGCUUUGACGGGUAGCCGGCCUGAGAGGGUGACCGGCCACAUUGGGACUGAGAGAGGGCCCAGACGCCGAGGGGAGGAAGCGGUGGGGAAUAUUGCACAGGGGGGGGAAGCCUGAGGCAGCAACGCCGGGGGGGGGAUGACGGCUUUCGGGUUGAAAACCGCUUCCGCCUGUGACGAAGCGGGGGUGAGGGUAAUGGAUAAAGAAGCACCGGCUAACUACGUG